CUGAGAGCCACCUGGCCGUCUCCCUUAAUGCAAACACGAGGCUUUACCAGGAGCUGGAUGCAGCUAAGGUGUUCAUCUUAACUUUCUUAAGGCCUCAAACAUAGUCCAGCAUCGACGAACCAUCAGUUUGGAAGGGUUACAGAUAUUUAUUCGUGACGACGAGACCAAACUCUUCUUAACAUGUCUGGUAAGGCAAGCUGUGAGGAAAUGGCUUUAGAUUAUGAAAAACAGAGCCACAGGAAUUCAGCUGAAAAGUCCAAACCUUUGGCAGUUCUCUCAGGAGAAUCUACACAUACAGUGCAUUAUUUACAGCCUAUUCUAAUACUAACUCAGCCAUGGAUGAGCUGCACAAGGCAAUAAGGAGUCAGCAGAACUCCUAUCCCAAUGCAGUGUACAUCAUAGUUGGGGACUUUAACCAUGUUGACUUAAGGUCAGUAUUCACCAAAUUUGAACAUUAUAGCAACAAGGUGGAAAAACACACUGGAUAAAGCCUACAGCAACAUCCAAAAAGGCUACAGAGCAACCCCUCUCGGACUAAUGGUGUCAAAGGCCCCUCCCAUCAGAAGGAGACACACUCCACCCACUCCAGUUCGCAUACAGAGCUAACACAUUAACUGAAGAUGCCAUUGUUACAACGCUCAGAAUACUGCAGCAAGACUCUUAACAGGCACCAACAAAAGAUCUCAUAUCACCCCAGUUUUGGCCUCCCUUCACUGGUUGCCUGUAAAUUUUAGGUUUCAUUUUCAAAUUUUACUUCUAACCUUUAGGGCCCUACAUGGUCAAGCUCCACAGUAUAUAUAUCUGACCCGCUGAAACUGCAUUCAUCUUCCCAAGCUCUAAGGUCAUCAGGUCAACAACUGCUGAUUCCACCACACACUCGAUUUUAAACUCGUGGUGAUCGUUCCUUUCAGGCAGUGGCACCACAGUUGUGGAAUUCUCUUUCACUGUUUUUACACUGUACUGACACCACUGAUUCUUUUAAAAAGCAGCUGAAGAUAUUUUUAUAUAGACAAGCAUUCAACUAAUUUGUUGUUUUUAUGUUGUAUUUUAUUGUUUUACAUUGUCCAGCAUGUUGACUGUUACCUGAAAUGCCACUUACUGACCAACAGAUGGCACUCUUACAAAUACCAAAUCUGAUUUGGUAUCUGUAGUCAGACAGUGCUUGUGUCAUCAGUGUCACUUUAACAUUACAAAGAGUAAAAACAAGUAAAAUAUAUUUACAAUAAGCAGACCUAAGUGCCGGAAAGUUCAAACACUGAAAAGCACAAAGGCCAACUUUGUGUCAUCCUCUGAAUGCUUCAUGACACUCUUAGACAGUUUUUAUCCUUCAAUGCUGAUUUGACUGAGUGAUGUGUACAUGGUUUUAUUUAUUUACUUACUUUCACAUUUACCUCGACUUACUUUGCUUCAGCCAGCUGUGUUUUUAUAAUCAUGCAGUCAUCGGACCUUUGGAACCUUUGUGAAUUGGACAAAAUCCAAAAUAAAUUCAAACUUGUGCACCCA
ensembl:lncRNA